AGUCUGAUAGAUUAUUUUUGCAUUUGGCAUUGAGACAUGAGUUCUGAGCCUAAGUUACAUAUCAUUAUGGUUUGUUUUAACAUCAAACAGUGUGAGAACCCAAAAUUUUCUUGCUGGCUGAUUCUUUGAUAAAGGAAGAGGUUCAAUUUCUUCGUGUGGCAAUGGGGCAUGAGGAUGAAUCUCUUGAUGAAUUUAUUAAAGCACAUGAUGCAUGCCAAGAAGAUCUGAUGUACUUCCCGGCUCAUAAUGCUUAUGGUCUUGCCAGCAUUGCCAACAAUAGUGACCAACUUGUGGCCUUGCAAAACGAAUUUGAGAAUGUGAAGAAGAGAAUGGAUGAUGAGGCCAAGAAGGCCCUGCGGCUUGAGCAGAAGAUAAAAGUUCUUACUCAAGGAUAUCAAGUAUAGUGAGAAGUGCUUGUCAAAUGUCAUGGUAGCCAUAUGUCAUUACCACCAUCCUAUUUUUGGAUCAGAAGCUGGUGAAUCAUAUGGCCCUACUUGUACUGCAUUCCCAAUAUAUUUCAUUUUCUUCCCUAGGACUAGAGUUGCAUAUCAUUUGGCAAUUUGAAACCUAUGGAUUAAUGAUAGGCAAAACAUAGAGUAUUUUUAUUUUAUUUUCUGCUUAUCUUUUUUGUACAAAUGGUUCCUGUGUACAAGAUCUGAAUCCAAUCAUCCAGUAGGCCAUCCCUUGGAUUGGCCAUUUCCUAAAAUGCAAACUGAUUGGACAAUCGGCAAUGCUGACUGUUGGAUUGGAGGACAUUUCAGGAAGAAAAAGAUGGGUGGUCGAAACACUUCGAUUGACCUUUUAUAUAAUCAUCCAUUUUCUUUCCCCAUUGUUUCUCCAAAAGAAUGGUUGGGAUUGUGUGAAUGCUGUUAUCUUUUGGGGCAUGGCCCAUCCAAGGUAAAGCCGAUGUAAUGAUUAGUUUGGAUCUUUUACACAUUCGGCAGGUUUGAAAAUUGAGUCACUUCAGCCAAAAAAGUGACAAAGAAUAGACCUUAAUGAUGGUUAGUUUUCCUCAUUUUAGAAUCCUAGAGGUUCCAGUUGACUGAUAGUUGCAUAUCAUUUGAAUUUGCAAAUGCGGGUAGGAAAGUUAUGGUCACAAUAGAAGCCACCUACAAGCAGAUGGACAUUGGUGGAACAGAACUCGAGUGUUUUCAAAGUGGAAUUUGCUUUAUGUGUUAGAGAAACACCGGAGAGCUGAUCAGGAGCUGAAGAAGCGUGAAUUGAAGUUGGAAUUCUAUCUUCAAGAAGCUCGGUCCCAAACACAGAAGCUUCAAAGGGUGCUUCACUUCCAAGAGGUCAAGUGCUUGCUAAAAAGGUGGUUGAACCCAAUGGUGAUCACAUAGAGGAUAAACCAGUAAGUUCCUCAAACUUUUUACUCUUGGAUGUCAUAAAACAAAGAUCAUACCAUCCACUCAUUGGCAUGGAAACAAGUUUUAUGUAGAAUAUGUUUAGUAUCAUUAAUAUUGAGGUAUACAUAAAGCUGGUAUCUUAGCUUGUGGGCCCAGUUGAAUCAUACAAGCUGGGAUCCAGGCA